UAGCAGGUGGUGGUGCAGACGUAGUUCCGACUUUCAAACGGUCACGAUUAAAGCCAGAGAUAUAUAAAACAACUGAUGGGAGGGUAAUUGUAGAGGAUGAACUACUUAAUUUCCUUGCUGUAAAAAUCAAAACUUUAAGUCAGGAUGAAGUUGUGUUGUUGGCCACGAACACAUUUGAAUCCGAGGGGAUUGAAGCCUCCAAGAAAGUUUUGUUUGAGCUCUACCCCACUACUUCACAGCGGUGCGUUGGAUAUAAAGGACAGCAUAAAGACGCCAACAAUAUUAAACUCUGUCUUAAAGUGCUGAAUGAGUGUGGGGGAGAAUAUCCCAAGAUUUGUAUCUCAUCACCUGGAUGAUUUGCCGCCUGUUACAUACUCCAGCAUGGAUGUGUGUUGUCUAAUAGGGCGAAUGGACCAGCUGUGUGCUGAGGUGGGUGCUUUAAAACAUGUAGUUAAACUACAGGCGGAUGUCUGCCAGCAAGUUAUGACCAACGCUGUGGAGGUCGACCAACGUGUGACUGUUCUUGAGUGUCGGUCUGAGGUGACGGCUGAGCCUGUUACUCUGAAUGUUCAGGGGUCGGGGACCGAUUCCCACUUUCCCCUGGGGAAACACGCAGGGGAGUCGAAGUAAAGGCGGCCCGCGCGGAAGGCAGGGAGCCAGAGCUUUGGCUGCUUCAAGGACUGGGACAAGCACCGUGUCAGCGUUUUGUCCGGAGAUGUUGCUAUGUGGUCAAGAUCGGGCUCCGACGACAGCCUCAGAUCGUAAUAUGGAAACUACAGCAACAACGGAGGAUCCCGUUGAGACAGUGAUUUCUACAUGCUCCCCGCAAUGGAGUAAAGUUGUGAAAAAUGCCAAGCCUCGUCACAAGCUGGAGAAGGUUAAUUCGGGUUCAGGAAUGCAUGCUGCUACCACUGGACGUAAUAAGAGGCCUGGACCUGUAUCGAUUAUCGGCACUGGAGCUAAAUGCUGUUUUCCAGAGAAGCUGGUUAUGUUUCGUAAUCGUUUGGGUCUCAGUCACAGAGGAUUCAUGGAAAACAAGAGAAACACACAGAGCUUCUACACAAAGUCUGUAAGAGUGUAUCCAGAUUCCUGAACCAUGAUGUCAGCAUGUUAUGGAUGGUCGUGGCUUUUUCAGUGCUCCAUGGCUUAUGCUCAUGUGCAUGCUCACCAUUUUUCCUUCAGCUGGAUCCUGUGACAAGAGUUUAUUACUCAAGCUAGGUCAUGCACAUUUAGGCAAAAAUUAUGAGUGACCACAUGUGAUGAAAUCUUGGAUGCAGUACUACUACUACUACGACUCUAAUAAUAAUAAUCAUUAUAAUAAUUUGGGUUUAGAGCCCUCAUAAAUAUAAAUACUGAAGUACAGGAGAUGACCAUGUGAAUUUAUACUCCGUCAGUAUCAGAACAGAGCAACCAGAAGUUAACUUUGACUUCUGCAUGUCAGAACGUACAACAUACGUUAUGCACUACAAUGAGGAAGCUGGUUUAGAGCUGUUACUCCUGAUCUGCAUCAUCCACAGGAGUCAUGCUAUACCACAAAUUUUAAAUUUUGAUCACAGGGUUGUGUAGGAUUAAGGACUUGGACUUGCGUCCUGAUUAACCACAGUUCCAGUCUCAUAUUACUCAGCCUAAUGUGGACAUAAAGUCUCAUCUGCACUGUCUGCUCUGGAGAAACAUGACUGUAUGAAAUUGAUAUUUGAGGACUGAGAGGAAAGACUUCUCUGAAAGAUAUUUUAAUGGAUCUCUAAAUAAAAUAACAGUGUGAAAUUGGUGUAAAAAGCAUGUUGACGAAUAUAUUUAAAAGUGUUAUUGUUUAAGAUGAAAGACAAAAAGAGGAAAAACCUGUAUUAUUGGUAAACCUGUUCAAAGAAUAUUGCACUGUUACUAGGCUGUACUUUAUUGAAGUGUAAUACAUUCACUAAAUAAAGGUUAAACGAGCUGAAAGGA